ACGAACGCUGGCGGCGUGCUUAACACGUGCAAGUCGAACGGGUCUGCCCUGUUUUUUGCGGGGUGGGUCAGUGGCGAACGGGUGAGUAACACGUGAGUAACCUGCCCCUCACUUCUGGAUAACCGCUUGAAAGGGUGGCUAAUACGGGGUGUUCUGGCUGUGCCGCAUGGUGUGGCUGGGAAAGAUUCACUUUUGUGGUGUUUUGGUGGGGGAUGGGCUCGCGGCCUAUCAGCCUGUUGGUGGGGUGAUGGCCUGCCAAGGCUUUGACGGGUAGCCGGCCUGAGAGGGUGGGCGGUCACACUGGGACUGAGAUACGGCCCAGACUCCUGCGGGAGGCAGCAGUGGGGGGUAGUGCACAAUGGGCGGAAGCCUGAUGCAGCGACGUCGCGUGAGGGAUGGAGGCCUUCGGGUUGUGAACCUCUUUCGCCGGUGAAGAAGGUCCUGCUCUUUGUGGUGGGGUUGACGGUAGCCGGGUUAUGAAGCGCCGGCUAACUACGUG
rnacentral:rRNA from 1 species